rnacentral:rRNA from 1 species
UACGGGGGGAGCAAGCGUUGUUCGGAUUUACUGGGCGUAAAGGGCGCGUAGGCGGUCAGCACAAGUCAGUUGUGAAAUCUCCGGGCUUAACUCGGAAAGGUCAACUGAUACUGUGCGACUAGAGUGCAGAAGGGGCAACUGGAAUUCUCGGUGUAACGGUGAAAUGCGUAGAUAUCAGGAGGAACACCCGUGGCGAAGGCGGCUCU